rnacentral:lncRNA from 1 species
CUGAACACUUAAAUGACUUCAUACAGUGUCAUUAGGUAUCAUGGGUAGACUUUGAACUUGUGUCUUCUUGGCUUCAAGGACAGCUUUUUAUCCAUGACACUAUAUUGGGUCAAAAAUCCUGCCUACAUAUAAUAACAGACUCAAAAGACUAGGAUGUAAGAGUUGGAAGGGACCUUAAUCAUUUAGCCACUCAGUCUGUUUUUCCACCUGUAAAAUGGGUAUAAUAAUGCUUUUGCUAUUGGCCUCUCUAUGAGAAAAACAUUUUAUAAAUCUUAAAGAGCAGUAGGAAUAUGAUAUUGUUAUUAAAUCUUCAAGUCCCAAACUCUCAUUUUACAAUUGAGGAUGUGAAGCCUGGAGAAUAUAGGCCACUUGUCCAUAGUUGCCACCACUGGAUAAUGGCAGAAAUGUGACCAGAACCUCGACUUUCCAAUCUUUUUUUCCCCAAUCUUUUAAUUCCAAAGCCUGGACCGGGAUUGAAUAGAAAUUGCUGACACUGCUCCUUUUCUACCAGGUAUCAUCACAGAGAAGGCACCAUGGUUUUGGUGAAGCAUUCUCAGUAUCUCAACAAGAAUGAAACAAAGAAAAAAAUCCCACCCAGCCCCCAGUUUCCUUUAGUAAUUGCCUCAAUAUCUGCUGUCAUUUUUUUAGAAGUCAAUUUCAUCAUGUCAAUAACUUCCGGUACUAUUUGCCUUAAAUGGCUUAAGUUCUUUCUCUGGAGGUGGACAUAG